GGAUCAUUAUUGUAACAAAGACGUGGGAGGUGCCUGAAGGCUGUCGCCGACUUGAAAGGGUCGUGCACGCCCAAAGGUUUCCUCUCGCGUGAAAUCCAUCUCACCCUUUUGUGCACCACCGCGUGGGCUUCCCUCCUCGAGGGGGGCUCGCGUUUUUCACACAAACCCCCAUUGUAAAUGUUUGUAGAAUGUCCUUAUUUUUUGCGUUGACACGCGAUCAAUACAACUUUCAACAACGGAUCUCUUGGCUCUCGCAUCGAUGAAGAACGCAGCGAAAUGCGAUACGUAAUGUGAAUUGCAGAAUUCAGUGAAUCAUCGAAUCUUUGAACGCACCUUGCGCCCCUUGGUAUUCCGAGGGGCACACCCGUUUGAGUGUCGUGAAAAUCUCAACCUCCUCGGUUUCUUUUGGAUGCUGAAGGAGGCUUGGACUUUGGAGGGCUUUGCUGGACUUGAAAGGCCAGCUCCUCUCAAAUGAAUUAGCGAGGUUCCCUUUGCCGAUCCUCGACGUGUGAUAAGAUGCUUCCACGUCUUGGUCUUUUGGCUCUGUCGCCUUUUGGGACCUGCUUCCAAUSGUCUCUUGACGAGACAACGUUCGAGCAUGUCUCGACCA
rnacentral:rRNA from 1 species